CCAGUCAGGAGCAGUAUGCAGAGGGGAAUAUGAGAGGGGCUGCCCCAGGAAAGAAGACAUCUGGUCUGCAACAGAAAAAUGUUGAAGUGAAAACAAAAAAGAACAAACAGAAAACACCUGGAAAUGGAGAUGGUGGCAGUACCAGUGAGACCCCUCAGCCUCCUCGGAAGGAAAGGGCCCAGGUAGAUCCUACUGUUGAAAAUGAGGAAACAUUCAUGAACAGAGUUGAAGUUAAAGUAAAGAUUCCUGAAGAGCUAAAACUAUGGCUUGUUGAUGACUGGGACUUAAUUACCAGGCAAAAACACCUCUUUUAUCUUCCUGCCAUGAAGAAUGUGGAUUCCAUUCUUGAGGAUUAUGCAAAUUACAAGAAAUCUCGUGGAAACACAGAUAAUAAGGAGUAUGCAGUUAAUGAAGUUGUGGCAGGGAUAAAAGAAUACUUCAACGUAAUGUUGGGCACCCAACUACUCUACAAAUUUGAGAGACCACAGUAUGCCGAAAUUCUUGCAGAUCAUCCCGAUGCACCCAUGUCCCAGGUGUAUGAAGCACCACAUCUCCUCAGAUUAUUUAUACGAACUGAAGCAAUGUUGGCCUAUACACCUCUGGAUGAGAAGAGUCUUGCUUUAUUACUCAAUUAUCUUCACGAUUUCCUAAAGUACCUGGCAAAGAAUUCUGCAACUUUGUUUAGUGCCAGCGAUUAUGAAGUGGCUCCUCCUGAGUACCAUCGGAAAGCUGUGUGAGACGUACUCUCACUCACUUAUGUUUGGAUCUCUGUAAACACAUUUUUGUUCUUAGUCUCUCUCUUGUACAAACGAUGGGCUUUGAAGAUGUUAGUGUAUAACAAUUGAUGUUUGUUUUCUGUUUGAUUUUUAAACAGAGAAAAUAAAAGGAGUAAUAGCUCCUUUUUUCUUUUCUUUUCUUUUUUUUUUUCAUUUCAAAUUUGCUGCCAGUGUUUUCAAUGAUGGACAACAGAGGGAUAUGCUGUAGAGUGUUUUAUUACCUAGUUGACCAAGCUGCUUUUGAAUG